rnacentral:rRNA from 1 species
ACUGAGCGGCGACGGGUGAGUAACGCGUGGGCAACCUGCCUUACACAGGGGGAUAACAGUUAGAAAUGACUGCUAAUACCGCAUAAGACCACAGGACUGCAUGGUCCGGUGGUAAAAACUCCGGUGGUGUAAGAUGGGCCCGCGUCUGAUUAGGUAGUUGGCGGGGUAACGGCCCACCAAGCCGACGAUCAGUAGCCGACCUGAGAGGGUGACCGGCCACAUUGGGACUGAGACACGGCCCAGACUCCUACGGAAGGCAGCAG